rnacentral:misc_RNA from 1 species
ACGAGUGAGGGUCCCCUGGGCCCGACCUCCCAACCCCAUGUUUAUUGAACCUCUGUUGCUUCGGCGGACCCGCCUCACGGCCGCCGGAGGAUUGCCCACAAUCCUCUGGCCCGCGUCCGCCGACGGCCAACCAUUAAAACUCUUGAAUGAAUCGUGUCAUGAUGUCUAAGUCUAUGAUUAAAUAAAGCA